rnacentral:rRNA from 1 species
AUGGUGGCGCCGCGCGCCCGCCCUGCCGCCGCCGCCGCGUCCCGCCUCCUCUGCGCCGCGGCGGCGGGGGAGGCGUCGAGCUCGCCCGCAGCGCCGCGGAGGCUGGUGCUCUACACCAAGCCCGGGUGCUGCCUCUGCGACGGCCUCAAGGAGAAGCUCCACGCCGCCGUCCUGCUCGCCGGCACCCCCUACUCCCUCGCCUCCCUCGAGCUCCAGGAGAGGGACAUCACGACGAACCCGGAGUGGGAGCGGCUGUACCAGUACGAGAUCCCGGUGCUGGCCAAGGUGCUCCCCGACGGCACCGAGGAAAUACUUCCGAGGCUGUCUCCCCGGCUAACUGUGGAGCUCAUACAAAAGAAAGUAUCCAGCGUGUUUGAUCAGUAA